rnacentral:misc_RNA from 1 species
GAAAUGCGAUAACUAGUGUGAAUUGCAGAAUUCCGUGAAUCAUCGAGUCUUUGAACGCACAUUGCGCCCCCUGGUAUUCCGGGGGGCAUGCCUGUCCGAGCGUCAUUGCUGCCCAUCAAGCACGGCUUGUGUGUUGGGUCGUCGUCCCCUCUCCGGGGGGGACGGGCCCCAAAGGCAGCGGCGGCACCGCGUCCGAUCCUCGAGCGUAUGGGGCUUUGUCACCCGCUCUGUAGGCCCGGCCGGCGCUUGCCGAACGCAAAUCAAUCUUUUUCCAGGUUGACCUCGGAUAAGGUAGGGAUACCCGCUGAACUUAAGC